GGUAAGAUGGCCGAGCGGUUAAGGCGUGUGACUCAAGUUCUCAUGGGAGAAAUCCCGCCUGGGUUCAAGUCCCAGUCUUACCA
rnacentral:tRNA from 1 species